AUAUUCCCCUCCUCCGCCUCCCGAGGCCCGAGCCGCGCCGCCGUCACGCCACCCGCCCGCCCCUCCGCCUUCCGUCCAGGCCGCGCCGCCCUCCAUCGCCUCCCCGGAUCUCCUCCGUCUCCUCCCCGUCCAGCCACCAUCGUCUGCAUCCCCGUCCAUCCCCGCUCGUCCGUCUCCCCGUCGAGCCGUCGCGCCGUCCGCGCUCGCCGGCGACCCGGACUACCUCCAGGACCUCUGUGUCGCCGACCUCAACUCCGGUUGAAGUACUUUGCUUGCCUGUUGCUGAGGCCACCCAUCUCUUGAUGGAUGACAAUGUGGGCACUCAAGGUAAUUCAUCUGUGAGAUUAUCUGCCAGUUGAAGGUGGUCGCAUCUGCAUCUGUGCUGUAGAGUAAAUCAAACAACACUUCUUGAACAGUUUGGCACCGUGUGGCACCCCAACAGGGUCUGAAAAUACCUAACAAUAGAUGACUGGUCACCAACGGAGACGAAGGGCAGGCUUUGGUUUGGCCUUCUGGCCGUGCUCAGAAAGUACCCAGAGCAUUUUGGCAUUUGUACUGAAGAUAUGGGGUUGGCAUUUGUAUGUAUAAAUUUGAAUGUAUGGAUGAUCAUGCAAUGCAUUGUCUUGCGUAUUUAGUACUUGCUACAAUUAUCGAACAAUCAAUUUCCCAUUUUUUAUUUUUAAUAAUUUUUCCUUGA